UGACAGUGAAGGAAUGGCAAUAUAUUUCCAACUCAGGACAGUGAGUGCUUGGAGGGAAACUUCCCAUAUACCUGCUGCCCUUGUCCUUCUAAAUGGAAAUGGUUUGAGAAGUGCUGCCUUAAAUCACAACAGAACAGAGCUCACAAAGCCAUCAUCUUGGAAUGUUUGCUGUCACGUGCACUAACUUAUGUAUGAUGCAGUUAUAUAUCACGCUACUGGACCACUGACUGACCACAUGAACAACCUCUACCUGACCCAGGAGUUUCUUCUUACCUCGUCCAAGUUCCACUUCGUCUGCUUCCAAGUAGAAGGUUGGCUCAGAUCCAGGAACGCAGCAGGGCAACAGACAGUUUCUCAUUGUACCUGAGCAGAAAAAUCAUAAAUUCAUAAUCAAAAGAACUUGCGCAGAUGAUACUGCUUCCACCUGAUCCACAUCAGAUGGCAUAUUCAAGCUAAAUAAAUAAUAGAACAAAGGAGAAAUAAUAAAACAAGGAACAAAGCCUGUUCAAAUCCCCAUCCAACCUUCUUGUAUCAUCCUCAUAACUCAUUCCGAUCACAUUAUAUAUUGUGUACAAACUUUUAAAUAUUACACUUGAUCCCCACAUUCAAAUAAAUGACACAGAUUGUAAACAGCUGGGCUGUAAGCACAGACCCUUGAAAUACCUUACUAGUCACACAUUGCCAACCUGAGAAUGAUUCAUUUAUUUCUGCCCUGUUUUCUUUGCAUUAACAAAUCCUUGAUUUAUGACAGUAUCUUGCCCUGAUCCUAUGUGCUCAAGCUUUGUUUAUUGAUCUCUUGUGUGGGAUCGUAUUAAAAUCCAAAUACACUGCAUCCACUGGUACACCUUUAUCUACUCUAUUUGUAGCACCCUCAAUAAAAUGCCAACAGGCUUGUAAUACAUGAUUUGCCUUCAUACAUUCACGUGGACUGUGCCCAAACUGAUCAUUAUUUUCUAAGUUUUACAUCCUUAAUAUUAAAUUCUAAUGUUUCCCUGCAACUGACAUCAGAUUACCAGAUUCGUAGUUCUGCAUUUCCUCGGCUCCUUUUUUUCUCAAAUGCUGAGGUUUCAUUUGCAACCUUCCACUGUAGGCACUGUUCCAGCAUCCAUAGAAUUUUGAAGUAAUCUAUCUCUCGGGUCCCUUCUUUAAACAUUGUGAGAUAUAGAUCAAUGGGUCCUGGAAAUCUGUCAGCUUUCAGUCAGUUGUCUAAUAAUAUGUUUUCAUAAACAUUCAUUUUGUUCAUUCCUCAUUCAUUUCUUGAAUUUAUUAUUUCUGGGAAAUUUCUUGUCUCUUACUCAAAAAAAGAUAGUCACAAAUACUGGAGUCUUCCCAGGCCCUGAAUAACCUGGGCAAUGGGUGAGUCAGUUGGGAAAAUAUGGAAGAUCAGAAAAAUAAGCUUUUUAAUGGUGAGAAAAAAAAUCUGAUUUUUUUUUACCCAAGGUUCACCAUUGAGAUGAGAAUCUCAUUAAUGUCUGAAUGCAUGUGUAGACAGCUCAUAAUUACCUAAUUUCACCUCAUUUAUAUGCAGUUUCCUAUUUUACCAGAUGGUGGACAAAAACUAGAUGGCACCAAUUUUUAACAUGAAAGUCUCUUCUGGGCCUCCAGCUCGGCCAGCAGUCCUCAGCAUCUCAGAGCAUGCUCCAUUGUCAAUGGAUACCCACAACCUCUGUCCACAGUGGUUGGAUUAAAUACACACUAGCCUCACCAUAUCAGCAUGGCCUUACAAUGGAGGGAUGAUCAUUGAUGAAACAGCUGAAGACAGUUGAUUCUAAGACCACGCUAUGAGGAACUCCUGAAGCAAUGUUCUGGGACUGAGAUGAUUAGUCUCUAGCCAUCAGAAUAAAUCUUUCCUUGUACUAGGUCUGAUUACAACUACUGGAAAGUGUGAUUGUCAGCAAACUGCUGAAUUAUAUGGUGCCCUGUUCUGUAGCUAGACCAGAGACUAUUUAGCAAUGUAGAGCUGGGAGUAGUAUAGGUAGAAAAUAAUAUUCUAGAGCCCUGGACAAUACACUGGUUAAAUAUUAUCCUUACCAUGGACAGAUGCAGUGUCCCAUACCUUGUUCUCAUUAUCUCCUGUGCCUACAGAAGGCACUGUUAACUGAGGAAACAGAAGACAAGAACUCCAAUUUCAGAAAAUGUAUACUCACUAUGUUGGUUACAAUUUUGCUUAAAUUUGUUUC